rnacentral:tRNA from 1 species
AUAAAGUUAGUUUAAAUUAAAACGAUAAGUUGUGGUCUUAUAAAUAAAUAAAUAAUUUACUUUAUU